rnacentral:SRP_RNA from 1 species
AAUCAAGCCCUGCGCUGUCUGGGGUCACCCAACCCCGUCAGGCCCGGAAGGGAGCAGCGGUAAGUGAUUUUCAGAAGAGACGCAUCAGGUUUGGCUCGC